CCUACGGGAGACAGCAGUAGGGAAUCUUCCACAAUGGACGAAAGUCUGAUGGAGCAACGCCGCGGGAGGGAAGAAGGGUUUCGGCUUGAAAAGCUCAGUUGGUAGUGAAGAAAGAUAGAGGUAGUAACUGGCCUUUAUUUGACGGUAAUUACUUAGAAAGUCACGGCUAACUACGUGCCAGCAGCCGCGGUAAUAAGUAGGUGGCAAGCGUGUACCGGAUUUAUUGGGCUUAAAGGGAGGGCAGUCGGUUCAAUAAGUCUGAUGUGAAAGUCUUAGGCUCAACCGGAGAAUUGCAUCAGAAACUGUUGAACUUGAGUGCAGAAGAGGAGAGUGGAACUCCAUGUGUAGCGGUGGAAUGCGUAGAUAUAUGGAAGAACACCAGUGGCGAAGGCGGCUCUCUGGUCUGCAACUGACGCUGAGGCUCGAAAGCAUGGGUAGCGAACAGGAUUAGAUACCCUUGUAGUC
rnacentral:rRNA from 1 species